rnacentral:rRNA from 1 species
AUGGCCUUUAAACAUAACAUCCAUGACGAGUGGCUUGCCCGACAUCUCGGCCAAGAGAAGCCAAAAUCCAUGGCAGCCCUCAAGACACUCAUGACCCGCUUUUGCACGGGCGAGGAUAGCUGGUUGGCCUAUACCAACAACACAACAAGCAAUCCUGGCACAUCAAAGGCCAGAGAUGGCAACAGCAAACCCCGACGCAACAAACACAAGCGUCGCAAAAAUGGUGGUAACGCCGAAGAUACGACAGUCAAUGCCGGAUUUAGUGGCUCUAUGUCCGGCCAACGGAAAAGGCCAUUCAAAAAUGACAAUUCGGGCCCGUCUAGUCUGGACCACAUACUCAACCGUCCAUGCCAAAUUCAUGGCACCCAAGAACACCAGCCAAUCAUACCAACAGAGAAUGCUGGGUCUUCAAACAAGCCGGCAGGUCAGGUGCCGAAAACAAGGAGAAGGGUCUCAAAGCGAUGA